rnacentral:lncRNA from 1 species
GAGCAAUCAGUGAUAUGAAAAACAGGACAAAAAGCAACUCCGAACUGAUUCUGCAUUCAAUCAUAUAGGUUUCCCCAUAAACUUUACAGGACAGGCUGCACGCAGAACGUGUCCAUGAAGAAAAACACAAUUAUUGCUGAUAAAGAAAAUGUCCAUCAACAAAGUAUUUGCCUAGGACUGGACUGAUAACAGAUCAAUGUCUUCAGAUUGUGAAAUUUGUUUAUUCUACAGUGUUUCUCUACAACUCAAGCUGUGUUGGGAUCUUGGAAGCCACUGCAAACGAAAUCAACCCAGAAAAUCUUACACCUCAAUGAUCAUCAUAACCCAGUGUUCACUGCUUUAUUUAUGGAUCUCACCAUUUUACAAGCAAAAUUUCUUUUAUCAACUUAAAUGGGUUUUCAGUGGCAUGGCAGCAUCCAGUAUGCAAGCAAUAACAGAACUGCAUUAAGGGAAGCACUGAAUUUAUGAUCUACCCAGUAGAAAUCUAUCAAUUUUGAUCAAGUUCUAGGCACAGUUUCUAAUAUUUCAC